ensembl:lncRNA
GGGCAAGGUCUGGGACUCCUGUCCCAGAGAAGUUGAUCUAAAAAGCGCUUGGUCUCUCCUAAGGAAGAGCUGUUCUUGCUUCUGUGUGUGUGUGUGUGUGUGUGUGUGUGUUGAGAGGAUGGUAUACUGGGAGGUCCUGCUUUGGCCCAGGAGGAACUAGGAGAGAACCAUACAGAGGCUGAAGUCCUUCUUUCCCUUGAUGCUCAUGGGUAACACUCAGGCUGGGAAGAUGUAGAAGCACAUAAUGUCCUCAAGAGGAGGAAGAAAAUUUCCCACCAUUGUUCCACAGGUACAGAGACCUCUCAUUCCUUCCUGGCAGCUGGAAAAACCAAAAGCUUGACCUGAUCCAUAAGUGUAAACAGAGUUGAGAGCAGGUAAGGAAAAAAAUACGUGUAAGGAGAACCAGCAACUAGAGGACAACCAAGGACACCCAGAAGUAGUUCUCAGGAAAACAGAACUUUUAGAAAAGACAGAAGUCAACUUUGACGAAAACAACAAUAGUAGGAGCAAAAAUUCAAGGAGACUUUAUCAUAGCAUAGGAAAGAUUUUUCUAGUACCUCACCCCCCCAAAAAAAAUCAAUAUAUCAACUAAAAAUGAGAAUAAUCACUUGUUGAGAACCAAAUUAGCAGCAUAGGAAAUCAAACAGAAGAAAUAUUUUAAAAUAGAGCAGAAAUAUAAAGUAAUUAAAAUGAAAAUUGUGGCUCUUCUCCCAAAAAUAUAUCUGAAAAUAAAGCUAUAUCUGAAAAUAAAAUUUUGUGUAAACUUUCAAGGAUUUGCAGAUGCACCUAAAGUAUAUCUGUGGACCCUAUGACAUAAAAAUGCAACUGAAGAUGAAAAUCCAGUUUAAAACAUGGUUUUAACUUAAAAAAUAAACGAGUCUGUCUAAGCAUCAGGAUGUCUCUCGUUACCCAAAAGCUCUCUCCAGGCCGUCGGUCUGCUCUUGCCCGGACCCUCAGACCUAUCCCUUCUGACAAUGGCCAAGAGUGGUGGGGACUGCAUUUACUGUUGGGUCCGUUAUAAGUAAGCAGGCUUCCCCACUGGAGAGCGGGGUGUAGAGAAGCUCUCCUGUCUUUUCUGAGAGGCCUUGGAGAACACUGCCCCCCGGCCUUUCGGCUGCUUUCCUGCCUCUCACUCCCCAGUCGUCUCAUCCGACAUGGCAGCACCCACAGUUGCCCCGACAGUUAGAUGAGUCUUUGCGAGGAAGGGCCUGAGUCGCCCUCCCCUCCACGUCACAUCUGUGUCUGCGCAUUCUCCGUAAAUCCUCCAUCAUCUAUACUUCCGCCUUCCAUCGUGGCUUUCCUGCAAGCAGUUUACUGAAGAAUUCUAUAGAGAUUUGUAAUUAAAGUUGCAUCCAUGUGGCACAGCUGAGAUUCAAACUCUGACUUCAAAUCCAGGAAUUUCAGACAUCAGCAAGCAGAUCAGGAGAUACUUUGCCGACAGACAAGGUCUACCAGAAAGACGCUUCUGAAGCCAUUCUUCCUUAUUUCUUCUAAUGCCGUUUCCAGGAGGGGUUCAGUUGAAGAUAACAGAAACCACUCUCGUCAGGAUAAGCAGAAAGGGAUUUAUCACCAGUUCUGAAGACUGGGAAAGCCAAGAUCAAGGUGUCAGGAGAUCCAGUGUCUGAAGAACCUCAAGAAAAAACCAUGCUGUUUCUUUCAAUGAUGAUCUAGUCUGGUGGAAACUGAACUUGCCACCUGAUAUCCCCACCGUCCGUGUAAGCGUUGUCCCUGAAGUACUUGAGGGCUCCCAAGGUGCCUGCCCUCCUCCUGCUUCGCCAGGGGUCCUCGGAACAAGUGCCCUAUUUCGUCUCCAUGGUACGACCUGCGAAACGGAGGUUACACAUUGGUUUUACACGUUGAGAAGGAGUGGUUGUGAAGGAGGAGGAAAAGGAAGGGAGAGCAGGGGGCAGAGAGAAGACAAAGGUUUGGGCCCUGCAGCCUGACGUGGGUCAGCAAGUGCUCUCGCCCAGGCCUCUGCCCCGGGAGCUGGACCCACGGCCAGGAUCUUGUCCCUGCAAGGCCAGCGUGCCCCGAAACCUGGCCUGAGGAGGACAUCAAUGGAAAUUCACACAACAGGAUGGUAAACAUGAUAAGUUGCUCGUAGUGGAAUUGCUGGGCCAAAGGGUAUUUUUAAGCCUUAAUUCCUAUCACCAAAUGGCUCUCCAAAAAGCUUUUACAUUUGGACGCUCCUGCCAUCGGAUCCUGCGAACAUCUGUUUCCACAUGCUGGUCCUCCUCUCCUCUCUCCACUUGGGCCAUGGCAUUCUUCAUAUGCUUUGUUGAUCUGGAAAAGAGAAGCUAAAUGAUAUUACUCAUUGUCAGCAAGAGUGAGGCCGAGGUGGGCUAGCCCAUAUUUGCAUAAAUCAGUAUUUCUCUGGAUACAAGAAAGACUACAUCUUAGGGUGUGGCUGAACCACCUGAGGGAACGAGCCUGGAUCCUUGAAUCACUGCAUGGGCAGAGAAGAAGGCACUUCCAGACAUGAAUACCCUGUGGCCUCAUAUGUGCAUAAGAGAGAAACCUGUGUUCUGUUCAGCCGCUGAAAUUUGAAGAUUUACUUAUUACAGCAGCAAAAAUUAUUCUAGUGCAUACACUCCCGUACCUACUUUGUGCUUCAGCAGUAACAACCGAUGUGCAAUUUCCCAGGUCAGCUGUGCAGCACUUCCACGUGUUUCUGCACGCUGAUCUCUCUGCUUUUGAUACCUAAUUUUCUCCAGUCUCCUAAUUCUAUCUAGUCUCUCUCCUUUCUGACCCUUUGGCCUUGAUCAGCUUGUAUUAAUCCUUAAAAUCCCAGUUCCUAAGCUUCUGUGAAGCACUGUUAUGACAGUGGGCCCCAUUCCUGCCAUGGACUUCCUGAGUUUGUCCAGAAUUCCACUUUAGCACAUGUCACAAUAUUUUAAAAUUCUCUGUUUAUAAAUAUGUCAACCUUACAACAUAGACAUUUGCCGUGUUUCUACACUUCAAAUCUCUUAGAAGAGUGGUGCUACAUAAGA